rnacentral:lncRNA from 1 species
CCAUCGAAAUCCAACACCAUCGAGAUCAACUCACACCCUAUCCUUGGAAUAUUUCAUGCCUCCUCUUCAGAUCUCAUGCCCAACCAUAUUAUCUCAUGCUGGUCCAAGCUUCUACGACACGUGAAAAUCAUUUGAAUUAUUUUCAAGAGUUGCUUUGGGCAGAAGGACUCUUCAAAAUAAAUUCAUCGAUAUUUUUUUGAGUCACAAAGGUUUCUUAGAUGGCUCUUAUAUUCCCCACCCUUGAUUAGUGCUC